rnacentral:tRNA from 1 species
GCCUUAAUAACUUAAUCAUACAAAAGUGUCAGUCUUGUAAACUGAGAGAUGAAAGUUAAAAUCUUUCUUAAUGCU